CUGAAUAUAUCGCUUAAUCCUUUUAUAAAGGAACGGGGGAACCAAUUUCUUGGGGUGUAUCUUCUUAUACGAAGUAGGGUUACUCUUGGACCUGAACCCGUCAGCUAACCUCGUAAGCGUGCCAAGAGGAGGU
rnacentral:sRNA from 1 species